AGGCCUCUGAUACAAGCUUUCGCCUUAAGAUGAGCCCAUGGCCCAUCAGCUAGUUGGUAGGGUAAAGGCCUACCAAGGCUACGACGGGUCGCUGGUCUGAGAGGACGACCAGCCACACUGGCACUGAGAUACGGGCCAGACUCCUACGGGAGGCAGCAGUGAGGAAUAUUGCGCAAUGGGGGAAACCCUGACGCAGCAACGCCGCGUGUGGGAAGAAGGCCUUCGGGUCGUAAACCACUUUUGCACGGGACGAAAAAGGGAUAUCGAACAAAUAUCCCCGAUGACGGUACCGUGAGAAUAAGCCACGGCUAACUCUGUGCCAGCAGCCGCGGUAAGACAGAGGUGGCAAGCGUUGUUCGGAAUUACUGGGCGUAAAGAGUCUGUAGGUGGUUUGUCAAG
rnacentral:rRNA from 1 species